rnacentral:rRNA from 1 species
CGAAAGCCUGACGGAGCAACGCCGCGUGAGGGAUGAAGGCCUCUGGGCUGUAAACCUCUUUUCUCAAGGAAGAAGAUCUGACGGUACUUGAGGAAUAAGCCACGGCUAAUUCCGUGCCAGCAGCCGCGGUAAUACGGGAGUGGCAAGCGUUAUCCGGGAUCAUUGGGCGUAAAGCGUCCGCAGGCGGCCUUGAAAGUCUGUCGUUAAAGCGUGGAGCUUAACUCCAUUUCAGCGAUGGAAACUACAAGGCUUGAGUGUGGUAGGGGCAGAGGGAAUUCCCGGUGUAGCGGUGAAAUGCGUAGAUAUCGGGAAGAACACCAGUGGCGAAGGCGCUCUGCUGGGCCAUAACUGACGCUCAUGGACGAAAGCCAGGGGAGCG